rnacentral:rRNA from 1 species
CAGCCAUCAUUUAAAGAAAGCGUAAUAGCUCACUGGUCGAGUCGGCCUGCGCGGAAGAUGUAACGGGGCUAAACCAUGCACCGAAGCUGCGGCAGCGACGCUUAUGCGUUGUUGGGUAGGGGAGCGUUCUGUAAGCCUGUGAAGGUGUGCUGUGAGGCAUGCUGGAGGUAUCAGAAGUGCGAAUGCUGACAUAAGUAACGAUAAAGCGGGUGAAAAGCCCGCUCGCCGGAAGACCAAGGGUUCCUGUCCAACGUUAAUCGGGGCAGGGUGAGUCGACCCCUAAGGCGAGGCCGAAAGGCGUAGUCGAUGGGAAACAGGUUAAUAUUCCUGUACUUGGUGUUACUGCGAAGGGGGGACGGAGAAGGCUAUGUUGGCCGGGCGACGGUUGUCCCGGUUUAAGCGUGUAGGCUGGUUUUCCAGGCAAAUCCGGAAAAUCAAGGCUGAGGCGUGAUGACGAGGCACUACGGUGCUGAAGCAACAAAUGCCCUGCUUCCAGGAAAAGCCUCUAAGCAUCAGGUAACAUCAAAUCGUACCCCAAACCGACACAGGUGGUCAGGUAGAGAAUACCAAGGCGCUUGAGAGAACUCGGGUGAAGGAACUAGGCAAAAUGGUGCCGUAACUUCGGGAGAAGG